rnacentral:rRNA from 1 species
AUGGCGGUGGCCUCGACGCUUGUGGCCGUGGUCGCCUCAGUUGCGUUGUCCUCCACGCAAGGAGGUCCAGACCGACCAGCCGCCGGCACGAUCAAUGAUGCAGCCGUCGGCAGGCUCGAACGUCUCGCUGACCUUGGCGCCUCCUUCAGCGGCGCCAGAAUCCCCUACAGCCCGGCGGCCCUGGCCUCCACUCCAGCAGCGACCGCUGCCCCUACAAGGGCUAGGUCUUGGCGCAGCACCAGCAGAGGCGCCGCCUGCAUGAUGAUGUUGCAGGCUACAGGUUCGUUCGUUGGACAUCUGAGCUCUCUAUCAUCAGUCGGGUCGAUAGUUGAAAUUGUCAAUGUGCAAUCAAAUUACAUUGUUCAUUUUUUCACAUGGCAAUUUUUGUUGUGUUCACUUGUGUGCAAGUUGUGGAAGAUGAAUGCCCUAGGAUUUUUGCAUACCAUGGCAUUUUAA